rnacentral:rRNA from 1 species
AUACGGAGGAUCCGAGCGUUAUCCGGAUUUAUUGGGUUUAAAGGGUGCGCAGGCGGCCAUUUAAGUCAGCGGUUAAAUCGUGGGGCUCAACCCCAUUCUGCCGUUGAUACUGGGUGGCUUGAUUGCGGUCGAGGUUGGCGGAAUUUGUGGUGUAGCGGUGAAAUGCAUAGAUAUCACGAGGAACUCCGAUUGCGCAGGCAGCUUACUAAACCAUAACUGACGCUCAGGCACGAAGGCGUGGGGAUCAAACAGGAUUAGAUACCCUGGUAGUCCACGCAGUAAACGAUGAUUACUAGCUGUUUGCGAUACAAUGUAAGCGGCUGAGCGAAAGCGUUAAGUAAUCCACCUGGGGAGUACGUUCGCAAGAAUGAAACUCAAAGGAAUUGACGGGG